GGUUAAGCGAAUAAGCGUACACGGUGGAUGCCUAGGCAAUCAGAGGCGAUGAAGGACGUGCUAAUCUGCGAAAAGCGUCGGUAAGGUGAUAUGAACCGUUAUACCCGACGAUAUCCGAAUGGGGAAACCCAGUAUCCAAUGGAUACUAUCAUUAACUGAAUCCAUAGGUUAAUGAGGCGAACCGGGAGAACUGAAACAUCUCAGUACCCCGAGGAAAAGAAAUCAACCGAGAUUCCCCUAGUAGCGGCGAGCGAACGGGGAGCAGCCCAGAGUCUUAAUCAAUAACAGUGUCAGGAGAACGGUCUGGAAAGUCCGGCAGUAAAGGGUGAUAGCCCCGUAUCUGAAGAUGUUGUUAUUGUGAACUCGACGAGUAGGGCGGGACACGUGUUAUCCUGUCUGAAUAUGGGGGGACCAUCCUCCAAGGCUAAAUACUCCUGAUUGACCGAUAGUGAACCAGUACCGUGAGGGAAAGGCGAAAAGAACCCCGGUGAGGGGAGUGAAAAAGAACCUGAAACCGUGUACGUACAAGCAGUAGGAGCCUCUUUAUGGGGUGACUGCGUACCUUUUGUAUAAUGGGUCAGCGACUUAUAUUCUGUAGCGAGGUUAACCGCAUAGGGGAGCCGUAGGGAAACCGAGUCUUAACUGGGCGAAUGAGUUGCAGGGUAUAGACCCGAAACCCGGUGAUCUAUCCAUGGGCAGGUUGAAGGUUGGGUAACACUAACUGGAGGACCGAACCGACUAAUGUUGAAAAAUUAGCGGAUGACUUGUGGAUGGGGGUGAAAGGCCAAUCAAACCGGGAGAUAGCUGGUUCUCCCCGAAAGCUAUUUAGGUAGCGCCUCGUGAACUCAUCUUCGGGGGUAGAGCACUGUUUCGACUAGGGGGUCAUCCCGACUUACCAACUCGAUGCAAACUGCGAAUACCGAAGAAUGUUAUCACGGGAGACACACGGCGGGUGCUAACGUCCGUCGUGAAGAGGGAAACAACCCAGACCGCCAGCUAAGGUCCCAAAGUCAUGGUUAAGUGGGAAACGAAGUGGGAAGGCUCAGACAGCCAGGAUGUUGGCUUAGAAGCAGCCAUCAUUUAAAGAAAGCGUAAUAGCUCACUGGUCGAGUCGGCCCGCGCGGAAGAUGUAACGGGGCUAAACCAUGCACCGAAGCUGCGGCAGCGACACAAAGUGUUGUUGGGUAGGGGAGCGUUCUGUAAGCCUGCGAAGGUGUACUGUGAGGUAUGCUGGAGGUAUCAGAAGUGCGAAUGCUGACAUAAGUAACGAUAAUGCGGGUGAAAAACCCGCACGCCGGAAGACCA
rnacentral:rRNA from 1 species